UGGAUCGUUUUGUGCUAUUGGGAAUGAUUAGUUUGAUUUAAAGGGUUAUUUUUAAUUUGGUAAGCAGUUAAAAUUAUAACAGAAUGGCGAAACGAAUUGCUGAUUGGGAUGUUGAAAAAUAUCGAUGCGAAUUUGAGCCUGAAAACCAUUGGAAUUUACGUAAAAAAUUUAUGGAAGCACAUAAAGAGAAAUACUCAGAAGAAAGACUUGUGUCUCUAGCUCAAUUGUUCAUUAAUAUCGAAUGCUUAGGCUGCAGAUAUCCAGAUAAAGCAAUGGAGCUUAUUGCAGAAUUAUCAAGGGAAGUAGCCCAUGAUUUCAGAGAAGAACAAAAGGGAAAAUUACAAAGGACGAUGGUUGGAGCUUCUGAUGUUGCUGAGGCCAGAGCAAAAGGUGAUCAUGGUAUGAAAACAAAGAAUUGUGGAUUAUCACCAGUUCAAUUCGUUUCUGCAAAAAAAGCAUAUCGUAGUUGCGAUUAUCAAACCAGAGAAGACGAUGAAUAUGAGUAUUUUAUGGAAGAUUUUGAUGCAGAAGUGUUCACUGAGGAAGAAGUGAGCAAUGUUCAAGCCUUUGACAAUUUAUCAUUAGACCACGAAAAUAGUUUUGAUGAACCAAUAAAUUAUAAUAAUAAUAUGAUGCAAACUAUUAGAGAAGAAUUUGCUGGUAAUGUAGCAGGAAACCACCACAUAAGUACAACUUCUAAUGAUACUGAUAAUCUGUCAAUUUUAAAAAUUCUAAAUGAGAACCAAGAUGAUGUUUCAAAGUUACAAGCUGUAGCAUCUUGUAUGAAACUUAUACCAAAAUUUGAGUAUGAAUGCAAAUCAAGUGGAUCUAGUUCUGUGCAAUGGCAAUGUACAUGUCAUUUAGGUAAUAUAACUAUGCAGAGCAUGGGCAACAAUAAAAAGCAAGCGAAGAAUAUUGCCAUUAGCAAAGCUUUAAUAGAGCUGAAGAAAAAAAUAUUAAGCGAUACAAGUGGUUCAUUUGGUUGGAAUAAUGGCAGUGAAUGUAUGGCAGAUGACGACACUUUUGAAAUGGAGUAUAUUGAAUCAGAAAUUUCUCAAAAUGAACCUAUACUUGGCAAGACUUCAAUGCAAAAUACUAUUGAUAAACAUUUUGAUUUCAAGAAUGAAGAAAGCAAUGAGCGGGAAAUAAAUGAAAAUGAACUGGUUAAAAUACCAAUUAUUGCUUCAAAAAUUUUACAAGAAGCAUUAACAAAAAUUGAUACAAAACAAGAAGGAGGAGACAAAUUACAUGAAAUAACACAACUUCUUAAAGUGAUGUGUAAGUUCGAGUUUGAAACGUCGCUUGAUAAAAAGCAGUGGAUAUGUCGUUGUUCUUUAAAUGGGUUAAUUGUACAAGGUGUUGGAUCUACAAAGAAAUUAUCUAAGAGUGGUGCAACAGAACAAGCUUUAAUACAAUUAAGAAGAAGUGUAUUAUAUAAAUUGAAUAUUUGUUCUCAAAAUCGAUCGAUUGAAGAAAAUAUUCAACCAAAUAUGAUCACAUCAAACCAAUCGGCUUGUAGUAAUCUACUAACUUCUGCUCCUAAAGAAAAUAGAAACAAAAGUGACAACCAACAUAUUAACUUUGUAAAUGAUUUUGGCACUGAUGGUGACACAUCUCUUCUUAUUGACAUUGAAUGUACUAGUGAAAGCAAGCUUCAAGAAGCGAUAAGUAUAAUUGAUAAAAAUGUGGAUGAAGUGUCAACUAAAUUGCAUAAAAUCACGCAACUUAUUAAAAUCUCAUAUAAAUAUGAAUUUGAGCCAAUCAAUGAUAUAAAGUGUGAAUGGAAGUGUAAAUGUUUUCUUGGUGAUAUUAUUAUAUAUGGGGUUGGUCUUACAAAAAAACUAGCCAAAACUGCUUCAGUUGAAAUAGCUUUGAAUGAACUUCAUAGAAGCUUAUCAAGUAAACUAAAAAUUCGACCUGAUAUUAUUAAUCAAAAACGAUUAUAUUUGAAGCAGAUAGAAAAAGUAUCUAAUAGCAGCAGUAUGAAAUCUAGACAUAUUAAUAAACAUGAUAAUACUACAAGGUCUAAAAAAAUAACUACACCCAUGGAGAAUUCUCGUAUUAACGAUCUUCGGAAUGCUUUACCAUUAUUUGAUAUGUAUGGGGAAGAAACUGCAAAAUUACAGGAAAUUACCCAAUGUAUUAAAUUGCCAUAUUCUUUUACAGAAGAAGAACCAAUAGAUAACAAAAUGCCAUAUGGGUUCCAAUGUUUAUUGGGUGAUAUCACUGUGCAUGGUGUUGGUUUUACAAGAAGAGAGGCCAAAGAUGACACUUUGUCUAAAGCUUUAGUCGAGUUAAAGAAAUAUAUAUUAGAAAAAUUGAAGGAGUUUUAUGCGAGCAAUAACAGAGAACUUACUAGUAAAGUGAAUAGACCUAACACAAAUUUGAAUAGAUCUAGUGAAAAAAAUUCAACCCAACCACUUGUAUUAAUUUUGAGAUCAAAUAAUUUAUCGAACUAUUGUACAAUGUUAUUUGAAUCGGUUUCAUACACUAAUGAGAAAAUGAUUUUUGAAUCUAAAAGAACAUAUGGAAAUAAAAUGGAAAUAUCCUUGUAUUUAAAUAAAGUUUUGAUCGAGCAAGCUGUAGCAGAUUGCUUAAAAACUGCCAAAGAAAUGGCAAGUAAAAAAGCUUUCCAUAUUUUACAGAAAACUUGUUACACUCUCAAGGUGAAACAAGCAUUUUAUUCAGAAAGGGUAAUUGAUGUAUCAGAAGUAUUAGGCUGCACUAAUACUGCAACAAAAACAAUACAAAAUGAUAAUAUUGGGACUAAGCUGUUGAAAAUGAUGGGAUGGUUGGGCGGUGGCUUGGGUAAAGAACAGCAAGGCAUUUCGGAUCCUAUAAAUCCUUUCAUUCAAAGUGAAAGAAAGGGUUUUGGAUAUGCUGACAAAAGUGAUAAUUUUGAAACCAAAAUUGAACAAAUUUAUAUAGACUUUAUUCAAGAAUGUCAUGAUUUUGAUUAUGAUUUAGUUUUUAGCUCCAAGUUCAAUAAAGAACAAAGGGAGCAAAUGCAUAAGGUGGCUCAAAAAUUUGGUUUGAAAUCUCAUAGUUAUGGCAAUGGAUCUAACAGGCAGAUAGUUGUUAGUAUCAAGAAGAAACCUUGGGAGAUUGUCCAGGAAUUACUUAAUGGAAAGCAGAGUGUUAAAUACGAACUUAUUUAUCCUAGUUCAUAGGAGGUAGGAGGUUUGAUUCCCAAGAUGUAACGAAGACUGGUUAAUAUACUAUUUCUCAAUUUCAAGAAUACAAUUAUAAUAUAUUUCCGUACAUAGUAGAUUACUGACUGAAAAACUAAAUAUGAAGACUACAUUGCUAAAUGGUUGAUCAUCCAUCCUCUAUGGAAUACGAAGAUAUAAAAAAAUGCUUAUAAAUUCAAUUUUACCUUAAUGGCUAGUCAAAUUCUGAUCAAAAGACAUUUACCUGACUCGGAGAGCAUUUAAUGUGAGAUCUGGAGGUGCGGCAGCUCCGAGACAGUCUGUUAUUGGUAUCAGUGCUCCUGGACUUUGCAUUAUUGCUUGUCCGGUUUUAUUGAUGCUGAUGUUGUACAGCAC